rnacentral:rRNA from 1 species
AUUGAACGCUGGCGGCAGGCCUAACACAUGCAAGUCGAACGAGUGGCGGACGGGUGAGUAAUGUAUGGGAAACUGGCUGAUGGAGGGGGAUACCUACUGGAAACGGUAGCUAAUACCGCAUACCAUCGGAUGUGCCCAGAUGGGAUUAGCUAGUAGGUGAGGUAAAGGCUCACCUAGCCGACGAUCCCUAGCUGGUCUGAGAGGAUGACCAGCCACACUGGAACUGUGACACGGUCCAGACUCCUACGGGAGGCAGCAGUGGGGAAUAUUGCACAAUGGGCGCAAUCCUGAUGCAGCCAUGCCGCGUGUAUGAAGAAGGCCUUCGGGUUGUAAAGUACUUUCAGCGGGGAGGCGUUACCUGCAGAAGAAGCACCGGCUAACUCCGUGCCAGCAGCCGCGGUAAUUC